GCGGCCGCUGCAGGUGAAGGUGGUGGGGCUCUUCAGCUGCCCCAACUUUCAGAUUGCGAAGAGCGCCGCUGAGGAACUCAAAAAUGAAACCUGGGAAUAUUCUUCCUCUGUGAUUUCUUUUGUUAAUGGUCAGUUUCUGGGUGAUGCAUUGGAUCUGCAGAAAUGGGCCCACGAGGUGUGGGAUAUAGUUGACAUUAAACCCUCUGCACUUUAUGACGCACUCACUGAGGAUUUUUCCGCUAAGUUCUUAAGAGACACCAAGGUCUUGUGCACAGGAAAAGCAGGGUUUUCUCAACGUGGCAUAAGACUACAUUACAAAAAUUCCAUUUUUCAUCGAAUAGUACAGAAUGGCUGGAUACAAGGAGGGGAUAUAGUGUAUGGAAAAGGAGAUAAUGGAGAGUCGAUUUAUGGUCCAACAUUUGAAGAUGAAAACUUU
rnacentral:lncRNA from 1 species